GGAAGAGUGGAAUUUCCACGUGUAGCGGUGAAAUGCGUAGAGAUGUGGAGGAACACCAGUGGGCGAAAGGCGACUCUCUGGUCUGUAACUGACGCUGAGGAGCGAAAGCGUGGGGAGCGAACAGGAUUAGAUACCCUGGUAGUCCACGCCGUAAACGAUGAGUGCUAAGUGUUAGGGGGUUUCCGCCCCUUAGUGCUGCAGCUAACGCAUUAAGCACUCCGCCUGGGGAGUACGGUCGCAAGACUGAAACUCAAAGGAAUUGACGGGGGCCCGCACAAGCGGUGGAGCAUGUGGUUUAAUUCGAAGCAACGCGAAGAACCUUACCAGGUCUUGACAUCCUCUGACAACCCUAGAGAUAGGGCUUUCCCUUCGGGGACAGAGUGACAGGUGGUGCAUGGUUGUCGUCAGCUCGUGUCGUGAGAUGUUGGGUUAAGUCCCGCAACGAGCGCAACCCUUGAUCUUAGUUGCCAGCAUUCAGUUGGGCACUCUAAGGUGACUGCCGGUGACAAACCGGAGGAAGGUGGGGAUGACGUCAAAUCAUCAUGCCCCUUAUGACCUGGGCUACACACGUGCUACAAUGGACAGAACAAAGGGCUGCAAGACCGCAAGGUUUAGCCAAUCCCAUAAAUCUGUUCUCAGUUCGGAUCGCAGUCUGCAACUCGACUGCGUGAAGCCUGAAUCGCUAGUCAUCUGCGUUCAUGC
rnacentral:rRNA from 2 species